rnacentral:rRNA from 1 species
GAUGAACGCUGGCGGCGUGCCUAAUACAUGCAAGUCGAGCGAGUGGAUUAAGAGCUUGCUCUUAUGAAGUUAGCGGCGGACGGGUGAGUAACACGUGGGUAACCUGCCCAUAAGACUGGGAUAACUCCGGGAAACCGGGGCUAAUACCGGAUAACAUUUUGAACCGCAUGGUUCGAAAUUGAAAGGCGGCUUCGGCUGUCACUUAUGGAUGGACCCGCGUCGCAUUAGCUAGUUGGUGAGGUAACGGCUCACCAAGGCAACGAUGCGUAGCCGACCUGAGAGGGUGAACGGCCACACUGGGACUGAGACACGGCCCAGACUCCUACGGGAGGCAGCAGUAGGGAAUCUUCCGCAAUGGACGAAAGUCUGACGGAGCAGCGCCGCGUGAGUGAUGAAGGCUUUCGGGUCGUAAAACUCUGUUGUUAGGGAAGAACAAGUGCUAGUUGAAUAAGCUGGCACCUUGACGGUACCUAACCAGAAAGCCACGGCUAACUACGUGCCAGCCGCCGCUGUAA